UGGGGAAUCUUGCACAAUGGGGGAAACCCUGAUGCAGCGACGCCGCGUGAACGAUGAAGCCCUUCGGGGUGUAAAGUUCUUUCGACAGGAACGAUAACGACGGUACCUGGAGAAGAAGCUGCGGCUAACUACGUGCCAGCAGCCGCGGUAAUACGUAGGCAGCGAGCGUUGUUCGGAGUUACUGGGCGUAAAGAGUGCGUAGGCGGCGAGCCAAGUUUGGUGUGAAAUCUCCCGGCUUAACCGGGAGGGUGCGCCGAAAACUGGUUGGCUGGAGUAUGGGAGAGGAAAUCGGAAUUCCUUGUGGAGCGGUGAAAUGCGUAGAUGUCAGGAGGAACACCUGCGGGGUAGACAGCUUUCUGGACCAAAACUGACGCGGAGGCACGAAAGCGUGGGUAGCAAACA
rnacentral:rRNA from 1 species